rnacentral:rRNA from 1 species
UACGAAGGGGGCUAGCGUUGUUCGGAAUUACUGGGCGUAAAGCGCGCGCAGGCGGUUUUUCAAGUCAGUGGUGAAAGCCCGGAGCUCAACCCCGGAACUGCCUUUGAUACUGGCGAUCUAGAGGUCGAGAGAGGUGAGUGGAAUUCCGAGUGUAGAGGUGAAAUUCGUAGAUAUUCGGAAGAACACCAGUGGCGAAGGCGGCUCACUGGCUCGAUACUGACGCUGAGGUGCGAAAGCGUGGGGAGCAAACAGG